rnacentral:rRNA from 1 species
UACCAGCACCCCGAGUGGUCGGGACGUUUAUUGGGCCUAAAGCAUCCGUAGCCGGUUCUACAAGUCUUCCGUUAAAUCCACCUGCUUAACAGAUGGGCUGCGGAAGAUACUAUAGAGCUAGGAGGCGGGAGAGGCAAGCGGUACUCGAUGGGUAGGGGUAAAAAUCCGUUGAUCCAUUGAAGACCACCAGUGGCGAAGGCGGCUUGCCAGAACGCGCUCGACGGUGAGGGAUGAAAGCUGGGGGGAGCAAACCGG